rnacentral:rRNA from 1 species
UCGCCUACACGAAGUCGGAAUCGCUAGUAAUCGCGGAUCAGCAUGCCGCGGUGAAUACGUUCCCGGGCCUUGUACACACCGCCCGUCACACUAUGGGAGUUUGUAACGCCCAAAGUCGGUGGCCUAACCUUUAUGGAGGGAGCCGCCUAAGGCGGGACAGAUGACUGGGGUGAAGUCGUAACAAGGUACC